rnacentral:tRNA from 1 species
UCCCUGGAGGACUAGUGGUAAGGCCACAGUGCUCUCACUGCUGCGGCCCAGGUUCGAUUCCCAGCCAGGGAA